rnacentral:rRNA from 1 species
AGUUUAAGGAAAAAAUCUUAAAUGUAUUCUGCCCAAUGAUUUUUAAAUGGCCGCAGUACCUUGACUGUGCUAAGGUAGCAUAAUCAAUUGGCUUCUAAUUAAAGUCUGGAAUGAAAGGAAAAAUGAAGUAAUUCUGUCUUAAAAAAUUUUUUUUUAAUUUAUUUAAAUGAUGAAAAUAUCAUUUUUUAGAAAAAAGACGAGAAGACCCUUAGAGUUUUUAUUUAUUUUUUUGUUGGGGCGACAAGUAAACAAUUAAACUUUACUAAUUUUUUAAAUCGAUUUAAUAAUAAGAUUAAUUAAACUACCUUAGGGAUAACAGCAUUAUAUUUUUAUAUGAUUGUGACCUCGAUGUUGGACUAGGAACUUUAUGGCUAGCCGUCAUAAAAGAUUUGUUCUGUUCGAACAAUUUUAUCCUAC